rnacentral:rRNA from 1 species
GAUGAACGCUAGCGGUGCGCCUAACACAUGCAAGUCGAGCGGGUUUAUUUGUGACACAGAGUAGGGAAGCAAUUCCACAUUCUGUGUCACAGGUAAUCUAGCGGCAAACGGGUGCGUAACACGUUGAUAUCUCCCCCGAAGUCAGGGAUAGCCUCAAGAAAUUGAGAGUAAUACCGGAUGGUCCCGUAAGGGUAAAGGAGCAAUUCGCUUCGGGAAGAGUCUGCGGCCUAUCAGCUAGUUGGCGGGGUAAUAGCCCACCAAGGCGAUGACGGGUAGCUGGUCUGAGAGGACGGCCAGCCACAAUGGAACUGAGACACGGUCCAUACUCCUACGGGAGGCAGCAGUGAGGAAUCUUCCACGAUGGGCGAAAGCCUGAUGGAGCGACACCGCGUGAAGGAUGAAGCCUUUGUUGGUGUAAACUUCUUUUCUCUGGGGAGAUAAUGACGGUACCAGAGGAAUAAGGGGCGGCAAACUUCGUG